AUGAACGCUGGCGGCGUGCCUAAUACAUGCAAGUCGAGCGAACGGACGAGAAGCUUGCUUCUCUGAUGUUAGCGGCGGACGGGUGAGUAACACGUGGAUAACCUACCUAUAAGACUGGGAUAACUUCGGGAAACCGGAGCUAAUACCGGAUAAUAUUUUGAACCGCAUGGUUCAAAAGUGAAAGACGGUCUUGCUGUCACUUAUAGAUGGAUCCGCGCUGCAUUAGCUAGUUGGUAAGGUAACGGCUUACCAAGGCAACGAUGCAUAGCCGACCUGAGAGGGUGAUCGGCCACCCUGGAACUGAGACACGGUCCAGACUCCUACGGGAGGCAGCAGUAGGGAAUCUUCCGCAAUGGGCGAAAGCCUGACGGAGCAACGCCGCGUGAGUGAUGAAGGUCUUCGGAUCGUAAAACUCUGUUAUUAGGGAAGAACAUAUGUGUAAGUAACUGUGCACAUCUUGACGGUACCUAAUCAGAAAGCCACGGCUAACUACGUG
rnacentral:rRNA from 1 species